rnacentral:pre_miRNA from 1 species
UAACAACCACAGGCUGGCCGGCCCCCAGGCUGGGUUGGGCGAGUAUCUCUUCGAAAGACUCAUCCUCAAGCAUGACUAGGAGC